rnacentral:rRNA from 1 species
UACGUAGGGACCAAGCGUUGUCCGGAAUCAUUGGGCGUAAAGAGCGUGUAGGCGGCUCGAUAAGUCCGCUGUGAAAGUCCAGGGCUCAACCCUGGAAGGCCGGUGGAAACUGUCGGGCUCGAGUCCGGGAGAGGGAUGUGGAAUUCCAGGUGUAGCGGUGAAAUGCGUAGAUAUCUGGAGGAACACCUGCGGCGAAGGCGGGUAGCUGGGCCGACACUGACGCUGAUGCGCGAAAGCCAGGGGAGCGAACGGG